rnacentral:lncRNA from 1 species
UAGGGUCUUGCUCAAAUGAGAACCACUCUUAGUGUGAGAUAUGAAAUCUAAUCUCAGCCACACAUUUUAUACAUUAUAUCAAUCUCUCACCACACAUUAAUUUUUAAGAUUAAAAUAUUUUAUCACCAUCUUCAUUCUAAUUCCACCACCUGCCACCUCCAACCACCACCGACCACCGGUUCCGGCCACCACUACCUCCGGCGACCACUGGAAAAUCACCACCGUCAAACCGAAAAUCACCACCGGAAAACUAAAAAUCACCACUGAGAAAAUGAAAAUCACUGUCAGAAAACGAAAAUCACCACAUCACCACCAUCUACAGACCACCACCACCAUCUACAAACUCCCCAACCCAGAAAAAUCACCAACUACAAAGGAAAAUCAACGCCAAAAAACAAAAAUCACCAUCGCAAAAAAAAUAAUCACCACAUAUUUUUCGAUCAUGACUUUCUCAGCCACCUACAAAUCAGUGUAUUAAACCAAUACCACCACCGCCACAGUGAUACUACCACCAAACCACCACCAACACCAUCUCCAGAUCUGUUGUUGACGAACUACGAUCGAUUCAAAUGAAGAGUAUCGAAAACGGAGGUGGAGGUGGAGAAACAGAGGUCGAGAAAUGGAGGAACAUGGACGGGGCUGUUGGAGGGAGGCAAGCAUCCACGUUGUCGUCGACCAGAAAAUAACAAGCGGCUAAAACCGCGCUUGCAUCGAGGGAGGCAGCAGCCGCGUUUUCGGCGAAAAUAUGGAGCCGCUGGUUGAGGAGAGCGAGGCGGCGACGACGCCAUCACAGCCAUGGGAAUGGGGGAGAAAGAGGGGGAAAGAGUAGGCAAUGGUGGUUGGUGAUGGAGGUGGAUGGGAGAGAGAUGAAAAAAUGAAAUGGGGCAGGGAUGAAGACACGGGAGAGAAGAUGGGGAUUAUGGAGAAAUAAGUGGCUUAGAUUAAAAGUUAUUAUAUAAAAUGGAUGGCUGAGAUUAGAUCUCAUAUCUCACAUUAUUUGGGGUUCUCAUUUGAGCACCACCAUAUAUAUAUAUAUAUAUAUAUAUAUAUAUAU